UAUCGUUUGCUACUUGAAGAGAGGUUAUCCUUUGUGUGUUUGCUUUACGCGAAAUGAAUAUGCAAGGGCAAGCUCUCUUCGAGGAGCAAA
rnacentral:pre_miRNA from 3 species